CGUUGUCCGGAUUAUUGGGCGUAAAGGGCUUGUAGGCGGUUGGUCGCGUCUGCCGUGAAAUUCUCUGGCUUAACUGGGGGCGUGCGGUGGGUACGGGCUGACUUGAGUGCGGUAGGGGAGACUGGAACUCCUGGUGUAGCGGUGGAAUGCGCAGAUAUCAGGAAGAACACCGGUGGCGAAGGCGGGUCUCUGGGCCGUUACUGACGCUGAGGAGCGAAAGCGUGGGGAGCGAACAGGAUUAGAUACCCUGGUAGUCCACGCUGUAAACGUUGGGCACUAGGUGUGGGGGCCACCCGUGGUUUCUGCGCCGUAGCUAACGCUUUAAGUGCCCCGCCUGGGGAGUACGGCCGCAAGGCUAAAACUCAAAGGAAUUGACGGGGGCCCGCACAAGCGGCGGAGCAUGCGGAUUAAUUCGAUGCAACGCGAAGAACCUUACCAAGGCUUGACAUGCACGGCGGCACUGCAGAGAUGUGGUGGCAUUUGGUUGGUCGUGUGCAGGUGGUGCAUGGUUGUCGUCAGCUCGUGUCGUGAG
rnacentral:rRNA from 1 species